UCCAGGGUGAAAGGAGACGCCGAAAACCAAUUCUGGUUAUCGAGCGGCGGCACCCUCGGGGAAGUCUAACAAAAACGUGAUAAAUAUAAUUAAAUCGAACAAAAUAUAUUACUUGAUAAAUAAAUAAAGAAACGCAAUCGAUGCGUCAAGGCGACCCGGUAAAAACCAAGCAAUCGCCGUUUAAAAAUAAGAAAAUCGACUCCAUGCACCACAGUCUAGGUAACCAUGGAAAUUAUUAAGUGAACCAAACAGACUUGCAGUGUGGUCAUGGCAGGUAAAUAGUUCGGCUACGGUAAAGUGCAACACAAGUCGAUUGUGUGCAUAUAAGUGUCCAGAUUGAAAUAAAACUGGAUGUUAAGAGUACACAAAUUGUAAAAGUAUAGAAUACCGUACCAAUCAAGUAUGCAAAUAACAAAAUAUUGACACUUUGAGGCAGAAACAAGCUAGUAGUGUAAAAGCUAAAAUGUUGACCUGGACUAACAAGUGUUUUGAUGCUGGAGUCAAAGAUUCACAUACGGGAAUUGUAUAGACAUGAGGAAAAUAUACAUCGAAAUAUUCAGCAGUAUUAAUACAACACAAUGAAGUGAUUUGGAUCGAGACAAAUGAUGAGCUGGCAAUGACGAAAAGAUUUGCUGGGACAACAUCAACUGGAUGUAGAGGCAGUGGAAAGUGUUCACCUCGGCUUGCAGUGAGAUUAGAUUCUUUGCACUGUCGAGCAGACAGGCAUCAUCGGCGAAGAGUUUGCUCAAGAAAUUUGAACAAUUUGAAAGAUCGUUUAUGAAGAUUAAAAAAUUCAAAGGUCCUAAUACGCUACCUUGUGGAAUUCCGUAAUGGAUGGGUAAUAACGAAGACCUGUGAGAAUCUAACUCCACAUAUUGAUAACGUCCGGACAGGUUCAAUAUGGUUUGAAGAAUCUCUGUAUGUGUCGUUGGCUCCAGGAAAAAGGUGUUUUGCAGCGGAACACCCAAAAAAUCGGUAGAAGGGUUAGAGCUACCAGGGAUGUUAUUCGCAAGUUUCUUUCCUACCGUU